UGUUCCCCUGUUCAUGUCCACAUGGGAAGAUGAAAGACCACAUUUGCCAUUUAUAAAGGAUGGAUAUGAACUCAGAAAACUAAUUUUGGGCCAACUAUUAACAUUCAAGGACAAUGAAUGUGAAGAUAACAUGCUUGUCGGUGUACUUGAAUUCAUCAGUUGUAUCAGGAAAAUCCAAUUUAAAUCUGGACGUGCAUGCUAUUUCUGAAGAUGAUCUCCGCUGGAAGGUGAUGGCCGAAAUAUGGGCCGAGACCAUCAUCUAUAUAAUGUGUCAUCACAAAGUAUCAAGGUGCACAUGGAACGACUUGCGCAAGGAGGGGAAUUCCUUGCUCACGACUGGCUCUCCUCAAUCACACAGCCAA